GGGCCCGCACAAGCGGUGGAGCAUGUGGUUUAAUUCGAUGAUACGCGAGGAACCUUACCAGGGCUUAAAUGUAGUGGGACAGGUCUAGAGAUAGACCCUUCUUCGGACUCAUUACAAGGUGCUGCAUGGUUGUCGUCAGCUCGUGCCGUGAGGUGUCAGGUUAAGUCCUAUAACGAGCGCAACCCCUAUCGUUAGUUGCCAGCGAGUAAUGUCGGGAACUCUAACGAAACUGCCAGUGCAAACUGUGAGGAAGGUGGGGAUGACGUCAAAUCAUCACGGCCCUUACGUCCUGGGCUACACACGUGCUACAAUGGCCGGUACAGAGAGCAGCCACUUCGCAAGAAGGAGCGAAUCUAAUUAAAACCGGUCUAAGUUCGGAUUGUAGGCUGCAACUCGCCUACAUGAAGGUGGAAUC
rnacentral:rRNA from 1 species